rnacentral:rRNA from 1 species
ACGUUUGAAACAUUCAAUGAACCGUUUAUCCAGUUUUGAAAGAACAAACCCUUUCAUUUUAGGGUUUCAAGAUACGAGUAGUUCGAGGAAGCGAUGGAGAGAGGGAAGGAGCGUACUCAAGUACGUGACUGACUGAACGACAGAAGCUGACAAAGAAAUACGAUGUAUAUUGAAAGCCGUAAAUAGUCUAGUGAUGAUGGCAAAGAGGUCACACCCGUUCCCAUACCGAACACGGAAGUUAAGCUCUUUAGCGCCGAUGGUAGUUGGGGGCUUCCCCCUGUGAGAGUAGGACGUCGCUAGGC